GGUAUGGGAUGAGCUUGCGUCCGACUAGCUAGUUGGCGGGGCAACGGCCCACCAAGGCGACGAUCGGUAGCCGGCCUGAGAGGGUGAUCGGCCACAUUGGGACUGAGAUACGGCCCAGACUCCUACGGGAGGCAGCAGUAGGGAAUAUUGCACAAUGGGGGGAACCCUGAUGCAGCAACGCCACGUGUGGGAAGAAGCAUUUCGGUGUGUAAACCACUGUCGUGAGGGAAUAAGGCCUGUUCUAGGACAGGAUUGAAUGUACCUCGAAAGGAAGCACCGGCAAACUUCGUGCCAGCAGCCGCGGUAAUACGAGGGGUGCAAGCGUUGUUCGGAAUCACUGGGCGUAAAGGGAGCGUAGGCGGAGAUUCAAGCGGAUUGUACAAUCCCGGGGCCCAACCCCGGACCUGCAGUCCGAACUGGAUCUCUUGGAUAGUUCAGGGGCAGGC
rnacentral:rRNA from 1 species